rnacentral:tRNA from 1 species
AUUAUUAUGGCAGAUAAAGUGCGUUAAUUUUAGAAAUUAAUUAUAUGUAAAAUUUUAUGUUAAUAAUU